rnacentral:lncRNA from 1 species
GGGCUUCCAAGGAAUGCUGAGAAGUGGACUAGACUAAAGCCAAGAUACAGAGUCCGGUCCAGGGUCAGGACAAAUCAUCAUGCCAGCAGCUGCUCAUCAAUAUGCCAGCACGCUGCCAGCCUGGGAUAAAAUGACCACCAUCACUCCCCACAACACUAUGAAGAAACUGAGGCUGGGAAAAAUGAAAUGAUGGACAUUUGACUAUUCCCUGACUACACGGACGUCUACAGCAUGACAGCAACAAGACCCCAGGCUUCCAGAGCCUCAGCAUGGCCUUGCUUCAGUACCUCCUAUACCUUCUCCUGUCCACGUGUAGAGACAUAAUAUUUCCUAUUUCUAUUUUAAAAGAGAGGAGGUCGGAUGAGCCUUCCCUCCUUCUCACCUACCCUGACCUGCCCCCAUUGCUAUGGCUUAACAUACUAGUGACCACAGAAAAGAGCACCCUAUGGGGAAUGGGGAAUGUAGGGGUCUUUUUCUCCUCAAAUCUUACGUUUGUGGGGAUUUUGUUCUUCCAAUUAGUUAGGCAACCCCUGAGAAGGAUCACCUGAAGCUUGGCCUCUGAAAAUUAAGAUAAAAGAUAGUUCCUUUCCAUGGGGAGAAAUGGGAUGUGGGGAGAAUCCUGCAGAUAACUGGUCCAUGACUAACCCUGGUUGAUCAAGAGCCAUUUGGGCCAAUUGGGCAGCUAUCUGGAAGUGUGAUAACCCCUAUCCCGGAACUAGUUGUGAUGGAUUUCAGAGAAGCAAAGCAGCAUCUCUUUGCCCUCAGGCAAAUGGCUUCCUCUACCUUCUCAUCCUAAGACCAUCCUACCUCCUUCCUCUCUCCCUUCUUCCUGGCUUAGAUGAUGGGUAAAGGGUGUGUAUUCUUCAAAUGAUAAACUCCUUAUGAGAUUGGCAGUAUGUUACAUACAGAAUAUACAGAAACUGUCAUUGCCUGGUCCUGGUUAUUUAAAGGAAUCAGGAAAACAAAUACAAAAACAAAAUCAAGAAUAUCUUUUUGUUGGCUGUGUUUCCACAGGCCAUAUUUUUGAACAUGAGGUAGAAGGCUGUAGAUACAUAAAAGAGAAGAAAAUGGUUAGAGUAGACAGGCAAGUUGACUGCUAGCCAUAAAAAAAUGUAAGAUUGGGAGGAUUUUUUUUUCUCUCCCAGUAAGAAAAAUAUAUAUUGUUGCUCUAGGGAGUUUGAUCUGUUUUUCCUUAGAAUUCCACAACAUUUCUCUCAAUUCCCCUUUCUCCUUCCCACCUGUCUUCCUACCUCUUCCCCACCUACCCUCAAACAAUAAGACUUAAGGCCAAGAUAUUGAACUUGAGAUAUGAAGUCUAGGACAGGAGCCAAAACCCCUACACUGGCAGAUUAGAGCAGGAUAUCAGUUAGUGCUGGUGGAGAUGCUGUGUCUUAUCUCUCUUGGCUCUGACUCCAGCACAGUUCCUGCCUGGAACUUGAAAGGUGCUCCAUAUAAACAUAUAGAAUAAAUAAAUGGCAUAUAUAAUGUAAGAACAAGCAGAAGACCUAAAGAAUACCAACUCAAAAUCUGGAUUCCAGACUUCAGGGUCAGAAUCAGGAAACCAAGAAGUACAAUGAGAAGAGAGUACUGAGCUAGACUCAGAAUACAUAGAUGGCCACAAGUCAGAAUUAAGAAUGGUGGAAAACAUGCCAUUUUAACAUGCUAGCCAGGGAGAAACACAAAAUAGGUUUCUCCUAUUAUAUGACAAUUGUACUUAUAUGACAAGUGACAACAAACUGGUUUAGCAUCAGUAAAGAAUUAAGAGUUUUCAGAGAAGUAAACUCAAGAUGAACCUAUGGCUACUCCAAAACCAUGCAAAAUUAAACUACAUUAUUACAAAUAUAACAUCUAGAAUUGUGCUGCCCAAUGUGAUCACCGCUGGCCAUACGCAGCUAUUUAAAUUUAAAAUAAUUAAAGUAAAAUUAGAAGUUCAGUUCUUCAUUCUCAUCAGCCGUAUGUCAAAUGCCCAAUAACCACAGGUGGUUAUGAUUGGACAGCACAGAUACAGAACAUUUUCCUAAUCACCGAAAGUUCUAUUAGACAGCACUGGCGUAAUGAGCAGUAACAGUGACCCUCUGCUCUGGUGUAUUCAGUCAGCCCUGCACAUCACUCUAAGUGAAGCAGGGACCAAAAAAAUCAGAAGAGGGUAACCACAAAGCUAAAAUUCAUCAUUUGUGAAAUAGUUCAAAAGACUAGAGAUAUUAAGCCUGGAGCAGAGGAAAACUCAGUAGGGGAUGUGAAGAUUAUCUUCAAAUAUUGGAGGACUAGCAUGUGGAUAAGGAAAUGAUAUUGUUACAAGUGACAUAAGGGAUAGAAUUAAACUCAUGGAUCAGACUUAGAAGGAAAAAGAUUGCUAUCUCAGCAGAAAGAAGAACUCCUUCUCCAUCAGAGCUGUCCAAAGUCAGGGUAGACUGCCUCAUAAAGGAGUGACCCGCCAUCCUGGGGAUCUCAGGCAAAGGCUGAGCAUAGGCCUGACAAACAGGUAGGACAAAACAGACACAGACAGGGUGCAGUGGUUCACGCCUGUAAUCCCAGUGCUUUGGGAGGCUGGGGCAGGAGGAUCAUUGAGCCCAGGAGUUAGAGGCUGCAGAGAGCUAUGAUUGUGCCACUGCACUCCAGCCUGGGCAACAGACCAAAACCCUGUUUCAAAAAAAUAAAGUAAAAAGAAAUAAAAAACAACUUUUGGAAAGAAGGAAAUUAUUUAUUUAUCAAAUAUGUCAGGCAGGAGGGGAGACUUCAAACGUGAAUGGUUAGAAUAAUCUUUGAAACCCUUUCAAACUCUGAGAACUUCUGACGCCUCUGGUUGAGAUUCAACCACUGGCUGAGAAAUUCUGGAGGGUGAAGUAGGCAAAGGGUCUGGACUCUUGAACAAGAUCAGGUGGAAACUCAAGAAUAUGACAGGUGAGAGAGAGCUCCAGAGCAAAAGAGGAGAAGAAAACAGUGAUCAAUUAAGUGGAAGUAAGUGGAGCAGAGGGACAGAAAAGGAGAUAUAAGAGGAGGGGGACAUCUUGAGAAAGAGAAAGACUAAAAGACUUGGAGUGUGAAGGAAGAAUGGAACAAGUGUGGGAGGUUUGUGACAAAAGGCACAAAUAGAAGCUUCGAUUUUGACUCUUCCCUGACUCAGACAGCUCUUCAUGAGACAGUUUCUUAAAUAAGAGUAGAAAAAAUAUGAUGGGCUAUGUAGCCAGAGAGCUUGAUAAAGGGAGACAAAAACAGAUGAAUAAAAUAAACACAACACAUUACAAAGCUUUUGAAAUACCAAAGUGGAAAAUAUUUGAACACCGCCACCCACAGAGACAAAAGGAUUUCAUCUCCUACUGCCCACAUACCCUCCAGACGUCCAAUAGUCUAAUAAAAAAUAAUAUAUUAGAAAUUUUUUAAAAGAUCUUUUUUUUUUUUUUUUUUUAACAGACAAGGUCUCACUAUGUUACCCAGGCUGGCUGCUCGAACUCCUGUGCUCAAGCAAUCCUCCUGCCAAGGCCUCCCAAAGUACUGGGAUUACAGGUGUGCCACUGCAGCGGCCAUAUUGGGAACUAUUUUGAAAUGAGGAUUGUAUUGGUUUCCUAUUACUGCUAUAACAAAUCCCCACAAUGUACUGGCUUAAAAUAGCACAAAUUGAUUCUCUUACAGAUUUGAAGGUCAGCAGUCUGAAGUCAGUCUUACCGGGCUAAAAUUAAGAUGUUAGCAGGGCUGGAGGCUCCAAGGGAGAAUCUGUUCCUUGUCUCUUCCAAUUUCUAUUUAUCAUAUAAUGAAAUAUAUUUAAUUAUUUUAAUAAAAAAUAGAUCCUGGCCAGCACAGUGGCUCGUGACUGUAAUCCCAGAACCUUGGGAGCCCACGGUGGGUGGUGGAUCAUUUGAGGCCAGGAAUUCCAGACCAG